UGGGAUUUCAUUUUGGAAGUUUUUCCUUGCAACAUUGAUUGGGAAAGCAAUUGUGAAAACUCAUAUACAGGUUUGUAGUAUCCUCUAGUUUUUGGAUCUUGGAGCAUUUGAUUAUUUAGACUAGUUUUUGUUGCUUUUACUACUUGGAAGCUGCAGUUCUUUAGUUUGCUGCUUGGAAUAUAUUGCUUUGAACUUUUGGUUGCAAGUCUAUUGCACUAAAUGAUUGAAGUGGAAGGAGAAUAAAGACCAAAAUUCUUAUGUUACUUUCGUGAAAGGUGUUAGAUCUUGGUUUUAUUUUGAAGUGCUAAUGUGUCUGUGCUUUCUUAUUGUUUUUGUUUUUGUUUUUCUGCAGACAAUUUUUAUUAUAUCUGUCUGUAACAAUCAACUCCUUGACUGGAUAGAGAAUGAGUUG
rnacentral:misc_RNA from 1 species